UGAUCAUCAUACGCGUGUGUGAAGAAGGCCUGAGGGUUUAAAGCACUUUCAAUGGGAAGGAAUACCUAUCGGUUAAUACCCGGUAGACUGACAUUACCCAUACAAGAAGCACCGGCUAACUCCGUGCCAGCAGCCGCGGUAAUACGGAGGGUGCAAGCGUUAAUCGGAAUUACUGGGCGUAAAGCGUGCGUAGGCGGUUGCCUCAGUCAGAUGUGAAAGCCCCGGGCUUAACCUGGGAACUGCAUUUGAUACUGGGCGACUAGAGUUGAGUAGAGGAGAGUGGAAUUUCAGGUGUAGCGGUGAAAUGCGUAGAGAUCUGAAGGAACACCAGUGGCGAAGGCGGCUCUCUGGACUCAAACUGACGCUGAGGUACGAAAGCGUGGGUAGCAAACAGGAUUAGAUACCCUGGUAGUCCAAGCCGUAAACGAUGUCAACUAACUGUAGGGUUCUUUAACGAACUUAGUAGUGGAGCUAACGUAUCAAGUUUGACCAGCUGAGGAGUACGGCCGCCAGGCUUAACCUCAAAUGACUUUGACGGGGGCCCUGCACACAGCGGUGGAGCAUGUGG
rnacentral:rRNA from 1 species